AGCGAACGCUGGCGGCAGGCCUAACACAUGCAAGUCGAACGAACUCUUCGGAGUUAGUGGCGGUCGGGUGCGUAACACGUGGGAACGUGCCUUUAGGUUCGGAAUAACUCAGGGAAACUUGUGCUAAUACCGAAUGUGCCCUUCGGGGGAAAGAUUUAUCGCCUUUAGAGCGGCCCGCGUCUGAUUAGCUAGUUGGUGAGGUAAAGGCUCACCAAGGCGACGAUCAGUAGCUGGUCUGAGAGGAUGAUCAGCCACAUUGGGACUGAGACACGGCCCAAACUCCUACGGGAGGCAGCAGUGGGGAAUCUUGCGCAAUGGGCGAAAGCCUGACGCAGCCAUGCCGCGUGAAUGAUGAAGGUCUUAGGAUUGUAAAAUUCUUUCACCGGGGACGAUAAUGACGGUACCCGGAGAAGAAGCCCCGGCUAACUUCGUG
rnacentral:rRNA from 1 species